AGCGAACGCUGGCGGCAGGCCUAACACAUGCAAGUCGAACGGAUCCUUCGGGACUAGUGGCGGACGGGUGAGUAACACGUGGGAACGUGCCCUUUGGUUCGGAACAACUCAGGGAAACUUGAGCUAAUACCGGAUGUGCCCUUCGGGGGAAAGAUUUAUCGCCAUUGGAGCGGCCCGCGUCUGAUUAGCUAGUUGGUGAGGUAACGGCCCACCAAGGCGACGAUCAGUAGCGGGUCUGAGAGGAUGAUCAGCCACACUGGGACGGAGACCCGGCCCAGACUCCUACGGGAGGCAGCAGUGGGGAAUCUUGCGCAAUGGGCGAAAGCCUGACGCAGCCAUGCCGCGUGAAUGAUGAAGGUCUUAGGAUUGUAAAAUUCUUUCAGCGGGGACGAUAAUGACGGUACCCGCAGAAGAAGCUCCGGCUAACUUCGUG
rnacentral:rRNA from 1 species